CCCCAGACUCCUACGGGAGGCAGCAGUGGGGGAUAUUGCACAAUGGGGGGAACCCUGAUGCAGCGACGCCGCGUGGGUGAAGGAGCGUUUCGGCGCGUAAAGCCCUAUCGGCAGGGAAGAAGGUGACGGUACCUGACCAAGAAGCCCCGGCUAACUACGUGCCAGCAGCCGCGGUAAUACGUAGGGGGCAAGCGUUAUCCGGAUUUACUGGGUGUAAAGGGGGCGCAGACGGCAAUGCAAGCCAGGAGUGAAAGCCCGGGGCCCAACCCCGGGACUGCUCUUGGAACUGCAUGGCUGGAGUGCAGGAGGGGCAGGCGGAAUUCCUAGUGUAGCGGUGAAAUGCGUAGAUAUUAGGAGGAACACCGGCGGCGAAGGCGGCCUGCUGGACCGUGACUGACGUUGAGGCUCGAGAGCGUGGGGAGCAAACAGGAUUAGAUACCCGCGUA
rnacentral:rRNA from 1 species